rnacentral:rRNA from 1 species
UACGGGGGGAGCAAGCGUUGUUCGGAUUUACUGGGCGUAAAGGGCGCGUAGGCGGCUUUUCAAGUCGGGCGUGAAAUCUCCGGGCUUAACGCGGAAGGGUCGUUCGAUACUGUUGAGCUAGAGUGUGGAAGAGGCAACUAGAAUUCCGUGUGUAGCGGUGAAAUGCGUAGAUAUACGGAGGAAUACCUGAGGCGAAGGCGGGUUGCUGGGCCAACACUGACGCUGAGGCGCGAAAGCGUGGGGAGCAAACAGG